UUUUAUAAAAUUUAUUUUCGUGUUUUUUUGUUAUUAAAUCCGUUGCAGGUGGUGCUCUACGAUGGAAACAGAUGACCAAUCUGGAUAAAAUUGGAGAAUUGUCGCAAUCGGUAGUUGUUGCUCAGCUAAGAGCUGGAAUUUAUAAAAACCCCGUUACAACAAAUCGGAUUUGAAAACCCUUGCUGAUGAGGUUUAUCAAUAAUAAAACAAUUACGAGUGCGUAAUGUUUUUUUUCAAAGCCUGGAUGUGAUCGUUUGAAAUCAGAUUGUAUUAACUACAAAACAUGGACAGGAUCAGUUUUGACUCGCUAAUAUGGCCACAUGAUGAUACGUUUUUGAUCGAAUUUAAGGAAGAUUUGGGUAACAUGUGUGGGAACAGCUCUACUGGUCGAUGACUUGGAUCUUCUGAUUUAUCCACUGGAUUUGGCUCUGGAUGGUCGAAGGUUGUGAGGCCGGUCAGACAUCGUCGGACGUCGUAAACAGUUUCCAGAUGCGAUCUAUUCGCUGGAAAAUAUUUGAUAUCGCCAUUACAGCAGAAGCAUCAUCAUUGGUUAUCCAAUCUUAAAAGGAACAGAAACACUUGUAAGGAACGUUAAAAAUCAAGGUGUGAUAUUAUGACAACUAUAUGUUAAGUAGAAACAACUAUAAAGUGGAAUUAUUAUUAUAUUGUUUUUAAAAUGUUCACAUAUUGUAUAAAUAAAUUAAGAAUAAAGUUUUUCUUCUCGAUUUUA